UACGAAGGGGGCUAGCGUUGCUCGGAAUCACUGGGCGUAAAGCGCACGUAGGCGGGUUCUUAAGUCAGGGGUGAAAUCCUGGAGCUCAACUCCAGAACUGCCUUUGAUACUGGGAAUCUCGAGUCCGGGAGAGGUGAGUGGAACUGCGAGUGUAGAGGUGAAAUUCGUAGAUAUUCGCAAGAACACCAGUGGCGAAGGCGGCUCACUGGCCCGGUACUGACGCUUAAGAGCGAAAGCGUGGGGAGCAAACAGG
rnacentral:rRNA from 1 species